AUUCUGGAGGGCCAUGGAUUCUGGUUUCCUAAUCUACUCCAUGCAGCCUAACUCCAUUUCUGUGAAUUCUAUUUUCUGGCACGACCAUUGUGUCUUUUAGUCACAGGGCAGCCUGCCUUGUCGUGGUUCCUCCUGGAGCUCUCUAAUUUGUUGAGUUGAGACUCUUCCUUCUGGCUGGUUGGCUCAGGGUCUGAUCUGUUCCCUGAGGUCAUGCCUCAAGACACACUUCCUCUGCUUUGCACAUGGUUGUUCUGGGAAAAUGAACACCAAGUGGGUGAGUUUUCUCUGUCUUCUGAGAGAAGCGUCAUCAAAUGGCUCUGCUUUGAGAAGGAAAAGACUCACUUGCGGAUGUUGAGGCCAACGUUCGGGAAGACGCUGUUCCAACACUUGUACGUCUCUGUGGGGACUGCACGUGUCAGUGCUAAAAGCUUCCAGACCCACGCAGUGAGAUUCUGAACGUUCAAAAGACUUUGGCUCAAAUUUAAUAAUUCAUUGUCUUGUAAAACCAGGAGUAAGUCCUGAAAAACUGAAAUCUACAUAAGAGAAACUUAGCUGUCCAUAUUUUCCUCUGUUCCUGUUGGUGCCUGCUACUUUCUCUGAUCUCUUCUUCAGCUAUCUUCACAUAACUGAUGAUUUCCCUGCCCUCUCCAGUGUUUUCUAAAAAGAAAAACCUAAAAAGCCAACACAUUUUCUGUCUGGUGUGCCUCUUGGAACACUGCAAACCGUUCAAAAUCUCCUAGAACAGUACAUCUAUCAUCUGUUGAGAACUUAUUGUUUUCCAGGGAUUGUGCUGGUUCUUUACGUACAUUUUUUCUAAAAGGUUAUCACCACCUUUGACCUGAGACAGUGGAGGCUUGGGCUGCUUAAACAGUGUCCAAAGUCACAAAUUGGUGGUGGCUUUUCUGGUAUCAGACUCUAUAUCUGACUGACUCUAAAACUUAUUUUUCGUUCCACGUUGCUUUUCUCCCUCUUCUCUAAAUCUCCACAAAAUAAUCUGAACCCAAUUUUGCCCUCUCCAGAAU
ensembl:lncRNA